rnacentral:rRNA from 1 species
UCCUGGCUCAGGACGAACGCUGGCGGCGUGCCUAAUACAUGCAAGUCGAACGCUUCUUUUUCCACCGGAGCUUGCUCCACCGGAAAAAGAGGAGUGGCGAACGGGUGAGUAACACGUGGGUAACCUGCCCAUCAGAAGGGGAUAACACUUGGAAACAGGUGCUAAUACCGUAUAACAAUCGAAACCGCAUGGUUUUGAUUUGAAAGGCGCUUUCGGGUGUCGCUGAUGGAUGGACCCGCGGUGCAUUAGCUAGUUGGUGAGGUAACGGCUCACCAAGGCGACGAUGCAUAGCCGACCUGAGAGGGUGAUCGGCCACAUUGGGACUGAGACACGGCCCAAACUCCUACGGGAGGCAGCAGUAGGGAAUCUUCGGCAAUGGACGAAAGUCUGACCGAGCAACGCCGCGUGAGUGAAGAAGGUUUUCGGAUCGUAAAACUCUGUUGUUAGAGAAGAACAAGGAUGAGAGUAACUGUUCAUCCCUUGACGGUAUCUAACCAGAAAGCCACGGCUAACUACGUGCCAGCAGCCGCGGUAAUACGUAGGUGGCAAGCGUUGUCCGGAUUUAUUGGGCGUAAAGCGAGCGCAGGCGGUUUCUUAAGUCUGAUGUGAAAGCCCCCGGCUCAACCGGGGAGGGUCAUUGGAAACUGGGAGACUUGAGUGCAGAAGAGGAGAGUGGAAUUCCAUGUGUAGCGGUGAAAUGCGUAGAUAUAUGGAGGAACACCAGUGGCGAAGGCGGCUCUCUGGUCUGUAACUGACGCUGAGGCUCGAAAGCGUGGGGAGCAAACAGGAUUAGAUACCCUGGUAGUCCACGCCGUAAACGAUGAGUGCUAAGUGUUGGAGGGUUUCCGCCCUUCAGUGCUGCAGCUAACGCAUUAAGCACUCCGCCUGGGGAGUACGACCGCAAGGUUGAAACUCAAAGGAAUUGACGGGGGCCCGCACAAGCGGUGGAGCAUGUGGUUUAAUUCGAAGCAACGCGAAGAACCUUACCAGGUCUUGACAUCCUUUGACCACUCUAGAGAUAGAGCUUCCCCUUCGGGGGCAAAGUGACAGGUGGUGCAUGGUUGUCGUCAGCUCGUGUCGUGAGAUGUUGGGUUAAGUCCCGCAACGAGCGCAACCCUUAUUGUUAGUUGCCAUCAUUUAGUUGGGCACUCUAGCAAGACUGCCGGUGACAAACCGGAGGAAGGUGGGGAUGACGUCAAAUCAUCAUGCCCCUUAUGACCUAGGCUACACACGUGCUACAAUGGGAAGUACAACGAGUCGCAAAGUCGCGAGGCUAAGCUAAUCUCUUAAAGCUUCUCUCAGUUCGGAUUGUAGGCUGCAACUCGCCUACAUGAAGCCGGAAUCGCUAGUAAUCGCGGAUCAGCACGCCGCGGUGAAUACGUUCCCGGGCCUUGCACUCACCGCCCGUCAA